AGUGAACGCUGGCGGUAGGCCUAACACAUGCAAGUCGAACGGCAGCACAGGAGAGCUUGCUCUCUGGGUGGCGAGUGGCGGACGGGUGAGGAAUACAUCGGAAUCUACUUUUUCGUGGGGGAUAACGUAGGGAAACUUACGCUAAUACCGCAUACGACCUACGGGUGAAAGCAGGGGACCCUCGGGCCUUGCGCGAUUGAAUGAGCCGAUGUCGGAUUAGCUAGUUGGCGGGGUAAAGGCCCACCAAGGCGACGAUCCGUAGCUGGUCUGAGAGGAUGUUCAGCCACACUGGAACUGAGACACGGUCCAGACUCCUACGGGAGGCAGCAGUGGGCAAUAUUGGACAAUGGGCGCAAGCCUGAUCCAGCCAUACCGCGUGGGUGAAGAAGGCCUUCGGGUUGUAAAGCCCUUUUGUUGGGAAAGAAAUCCAGCUGGCUAAUACCCGGUUGGGAUGACGGUACCCAAAGAAUAAGCACCGGCUAACUUCGUGCCAGCAGCCGCCGUAA
rnacentral:rRNA from 1 species